UACAGAGGGGGCAAGCGUUGUUCGGAAUUACUGGGCGUAAAGGGCCAGUAGGCGGCCAACUAAGUCCGACGUGAAAUCCCCAGGCUUAACCUGGGAACUGCGUCGGAUACUGGAUGGCUUGAAUUCGGGAGAGGGAUGCAGAAUUCCAGGUGUAGCGGUGAAAUGCGCAGAUAUCAGGAGGAACACCAAUGGCGAAGGCAGCUCGCUGGGACGGUACUGACGCUGAGACGCGAAAGCGUGGGGAGCAAACAGG
rnacentral:rRNA from 1 species